GAGACUCUGUGCGCGUGCAUAUCAAUAAGCGGAGGAAAAGAAACUAACAAGGAUUCCCUUAGUAACGGCGAGUGAAGCGGGAAGAGCUCAAAUUUGAAAUCUUCAAGGUUCUACCUUGACGAAUUGUAGUUUAUAGAAGUGUUUUCUGUUAGUGGAGUGGCAAAAGUUCUUUGGAAUAGGACAUCAUAGAGGGUGAGAAUCCCGUAUUUGGUCAUUCCUUCCUAGCGUCUGUGAUACACUUUCAACGAGUCGGAUUGUUUGGGAAUGCAGUCCAAAAUGGGUGGUAAAUUUCAUCUAAAGCUAAAUAUUGGCGAGAGACCGAUAGCGAGCAAGUACCGUGAGGGAAAGAUGAAAAGAACUUUGAAAGAGAGUUAAACAGUACGUGAAAUUGUCAAAAGGGAAGCGUUUGACACCAGUGUUGUUUUUCCGAAAAUCAAUUACGAAUGUUUUGUUUUUGAGGAGUUAUGACUUCAUCGGCUUGCUCCUUUCUUUACGAAACUUUCUUAAUGCACUUUUCGGUUAACAAGUCAACAUCAAUUUCUUUUGUUGUAAAAGGGUAUGAGGAAGGUGGCUUUCUUUUCGGAGAAAGUGUUUAUAGCCUUGUGCCUCUACAAUCGGAGAGAUUGAGGUCUGCAGCGUAGAUCCUUCGGGGUUAGAUACAGUUUGUGCUAAGUUAUAGCUUUUCAUAGACAACUUGUUGACUAUGUUUAGUCUUGUAGCUUACUCGCUGAUGCUAUUUUACCUACGCUUAGGAUGUUGACAGCAGUAUAGACGU
rnacentral:rRNA from 1 species